rnacentral:lncRNA from 1 species
GGCCUUAUUUCUUCGGUUUUUGACCUGGCUUAGCUCUACGGACUACCCUCGCGCGUUUUUCCUUGAACUAGAUGACAUCGGUUUCCUAUCUACUCUCUUUCGGCUUUCACUCGGACUGUUUACGGACUGCUUUGCCUUCUCCCUUAAACUAGUCGACAUCGGUACCUUACCACCCUAUGUCCCCGUCCGGACCCUUCAGCAGGUGUGUGGUGUGCGAUCGCAAAAUUCCCCACCAGGACGGCCACGAUACUUGUUUGUAUUGUUUGGGGGAAUCGCACAACUCCAAAACUUGCCCACACUGCAAAGCUUUCACUAAAGCCGCUCUUAAGGCUCGCCAGCAGCGCCUUAAGCUUCACCUGUGGGAGUCAACAUUGUCUUCCACAGCGCCCUCGGAGGGGGAGAUGGCUUCCACUUCCAGAGCAGCUCCCGUACAAUCGGUAGUCUCCAAGGUUUCGAAAAUGUCGAAAAAGUCCGCGGCGUCGAAGUCGGCCACUCUUGCGUCGAACCCCGAGCCCCCGGCUCCUGCUCCACCAAAAGCUAAACCAUCCAAAUCGUCGAGAACCAAGGCAUCUGCCAAGCCUAAGGUUACGUCCCUUCGACUUUCUCCAAGCUCGGGGUCGAUACCGUCACCGAUACUCGAGGGGUUGUCGAGACGCUUUGAAGCUUCGUCCGACGCACCCGCUCCACCUCCGGUUCGACGCACUGAAGCCGUGCUACCGCCGGAAAUGUCUUCCCCGACGCCGAGCCAGCUAGUUGGAGCCACUACUGGCCUGGCUUCUGCCCCACAUAGCCCAUCUCCUGCGGGCCAGGGGUCGUCUCCCUUGUCGAUCUCGUCCGUACACUCGGACUCGAGAUCUCCACGAGACAAGGCGCCUCGCUCACCCGUGCGUUCGAGGUCGAAAUCCCCUCGAGACAAACGCCCUUGCACGGAGAAACAUCGCUCCCCGAGUCGGUCCCCUUCCACCGACCACUCGAGAUCGAAGUCUCCUCGACGGAAAUGGUCAAAGAGGAAGCAUCGGGCUUCGACCCAGUCAGACUCUUCCCAUCGUUCGGACUCCAAAUCUUCGAAGCGCAAACGCUCUAGGAAGAAGCGCAGAUCACAUCGACGUCGUAGUAAACAUCGACGUCGAUCCUCUUCUUCCUAUUCAGUUGACUCGGACCGACCCAAGCGUCGUAAACAACAUCGACGUCGACAUGGUCGCUCGAGGUCUUUUUCCUCGUCUUCGACUUCCGCGUCUCCAGAUCGGCAUCAUAAGA